GGUGGAGCUUCUCUGAGGGAAAUGGAAAUCACAGCUGACAUCUACCCUUGGUGAAGGCUAGGUCAAUCCUGGGACAGGAAAUCAAGACUGUGGAGGUGGGCAAGGAUUGCAGGGAGUACGUCUUCCUCUGUGGAGGUGGAGGUUGGUCUUAAGCCUUUCUUUAGGAGACACACUGUUGGGUAUUUUCCCUGGAGAGAAGAAAGACGAUUCCUUCAAGAUGGUGGCCAGCUGAGAGAAAGUCAGGAAGAGCUUGCUCAGGACCUGCUGGGCCCAGCAGCUCUGAACAUCACACAACAAUGCUGGCUGAAGCAUGGGCUUUGGAAUCAGACAGAAUCUGGAUUCACCACUUAUUGAUCAGAUAAGGGAGCAGAAGUGGAUCCCAUGGAAAAAAACAAAGGGCAUUUAGGCAGAAGGCACAUCAUAUAGAAGAGCCAGGUGUACCCACACUGAUCUCCCAUGAGAGAAACCCCAGCUUUCUGGAACACUUCAGGGUGACUGCAUCCCCACAGAAGGAGUGCCCUCUUAGUUCAGGUUUGCACAAGAAAUAGAUCCCAACCUCUCUGUACAUGGAACAUCAGCAUUUCUGCAGAUGAAGAGAGGUGCCUGUCUGAUCUGAAUAGCCAGAACACUGGAUUAGGAGUGUGACUGGGAGUCAGACCACUUUCCUACUAGCCUGGAAGGAGAGCUGUGAUGGCUCCCUCACUUCCUCCUGAAAAGACCUCAGUGAAUUUCACUGAGAGCUUCCCCAGCCACCCUUUUGGCGGCUGGGACCUCUGCCCACCACCUCUGCCCACCACUGGGGUAUUGCAUUUACCCAUGGCUUUAGCCACAGCUGAUUUUUACUCAUGGGUACCUCCUACUAGUCUGAAGCUGGAACUGUUCAAUCCAGUGAGUGAAAUACCAGAGAAACAAAGUUUUAAAAGUGCACAUCACUGGGGAAUGAGAUAAGUUCCAUGAGACCUCUGCCAUUCUAGCUCCACAGGAGACAGUGAACCUGCUCACACACCCAGCACAUUGCUACUACCACCAGUAUCUGAGAAACCUAUCCCACAAAGAUUGUCUAUAACCCAGGAACUCAUACAGAGUCUUUGCCACUGAAAUUAUCCAGAGCUGAAGCAAGGUGACAAUAAACUAGAAACACUAAACUCACAUACUCAAAGGAAAAAAAAUUUUAAACCCAGUUGAAUCAAAAUUAACUCAAAAAUAAUUAGAAGAAGUAGUGUACUCAUAUGAAAAGGAACCAGAAAACCAAUUCUGGCAAUAUGGAAAAAACAGGAUUCCAUAAUACCACCAAAUGUCAACUAGCUUUCCAGCAGUGGAUACAAACCAAGAUGAAACCUUUGAAAUCUCAAAGAAUUAGUAAAGUUUAUUAUCAAUUUACUGAAGGACACAUAAAAGAAAGAAAACCAACAUAAAAAAUUUAAAAAACAAUUUAAGAUGUGAAUGAAAAAUUUUCUGAAGAGAUAGAUAUUUUUUUAAAAUGCCAAUCAGAACUUCUGGAAAGAACAGACACAUUUAGGGAAUUACAAAAUGCAGUGGAAAGUUUUAACAAUAGACUAGACCAAGUAGAAGAAUUAACUUCAGAACCCAAAGACAAGGUUUUUGAGUUAACCUAAUCAAACAAAAUAAAUAAAAAAGAACUAAAGGAAAUUAAGUCUCCAGGAAAUACGGGACUGUGUGAAAUGACCAAACCUAAGAAUUACAGGUGUUCCUAAGGGAGAAGAAAAAGCAAAAAGUUUGGAAAACAUAUUUGAGGGAAUAAUUGAGGAAAACUUUCUGGGCCUUGCUAGAGAUUUAGACAUCCAAAUUUAAGAAGCUCAAAGAACUUCUAGGAGACUCAUUGCAAAAUGGACAUCACCAAGGCAUACAGUCAUCAGGGUAUCUAAAGCCAAUGUAAAGAAAAUAAUUCUGAGAGUAGUGAGACAAAAAUAUGAGCUAACUUAUACAGGAAAACCUAUUAAGCUAACAGCUGACUUCUCAGCAGAAACCUUACAAGCCAGAAGAGACUGGAGUCCUAUCUUUAGUCUCUUUAAGCAGAGAAACUGUCAGCCAAGAAUUUUGUAUCCAGCAAAACUGUUUCAUAAGUGAAGGAGAAGUAAAGUAUCUCUCAGACAAGCAAAUGCUGAGGGAAUUUGUCAAUACUAGAUCAGUUCUAUAAGAAAUGCUAAAAGGAGUUCUAAAUCUUGAAAGAGAAGGUCAAUAUGCACCAGAAUAGAAACUCCUGAAAGCAUAAUAUUCACAAGGCCUAUAAACAAUAACACAAUGAAGAAAAUAAAGUCAGUAGGUAAAAAUCUCAUAAUGACUGGAACAAUAUCUCACAUCUAAAUAUUAAUGUUGAAUGUAAGUGUCCUAAAUGGUGUAUUUAAAAAUACAGAAGGAGAUCGAGACCAUCCUGGCUAACAAGGUGAAACCCCGUCUCUACUAAAAAUACAAAAAAUUAGCCAGGCGCGGUGGCGGGUGCCUGUAGUCCCAGCUACUCAGGAGGCUGAGGCAGGAGAAUGGCGUGAACCCGGGAAGCG
rnacentral:lncRNA from 1 species